rnacentral:rRNA from 1 species
CCUACGGGUGGCAGCAGUGAGGAAUAUUGGUCAAUGGACGAGAGUCUGAACCAGCCAAGUAGCGUGAAGGAUGACUGCCCUAUGGGUUGUAAACUUCUUUUAUAUGGGAAUAAAAUGUUCCACGUGUGGGAGUUUGUAUGUACCAUAAGAAUAAGGAUCGGCUAACUCCGUGCCAGCAGCCGCGGUAAUACGGAGGAUCCGAGCGUUAUCCGGAUUUAUUGGGUAUAAAGGGAGCGUAGGUGGAUAGUUAAGUCAUUUGUGAAAGUUUUGGGCUCAAUCGUAAAAGUGCAGUUGAAACUGGCCUUGUUGAGUACAGUAGAGGUAGGCGGAAUUCGUGGUGUAGCGGUUAAAUGCUUAGAUAUCCCGAAGAACUCCGAUUGCGAAGGCAGCUCACUGGACUGCAACUGACACUGAGGCUCGAAAGUGUGGGUAUCAAACAGGAGUAGAUACCCGAGUAGUC